UGGGGAAUUUUGGACAAUGGGCGCAAGCCUGAUCCAGCCAUGCCGCGUGUCUGAAGAAGGCCUUCGGGUUGUAAAGGACUUUUGUCAGGGAGCAAAUCUUAAUUCCUAAUACGGAUUGAGGCUGAGAGUACCUGAAGAAUAAGCACCGGCUAACUACGUGCCAGCAGCCGCGGUAAUACGUAGGGUGCAAGCGUUAAUCGGAAUUACUGGGCGUAAAGCGUGCGCAGGCGGUUGGAUAAGCUAGAUGUGAAAGCCCCGGGCUCAACCUGGGAACUGCGUUUAGAACUGUCCGACUAGAGUAGGUCAGAGGGGGGUGGAAUUCCACGUGUAGCAGUGAAAUGCGUAGAGAUGUGGAGGAACACCAAUGGCGAAGGCAGCCCCCUGGGAUCAUACUGACGCUCAUGCACGAAAGCGUGGGGAGCAAACAGGAUUAGAUACCCCUGUAGUCC
rnacentral:rRNA from 1 species